rnacentral:lncRNA from 1 species
CCACCCCAAUUAGCCUUUGAAUUGAUUUAGUGAGAAAAACAUCUAUUAUGGAAUAAAAGUCUUAGUGAUUAGUGUUGCAUUAUUUCACUACAUUUGAAAUGGCUGUAGUUUGCUGCGAAGAACCUGGAGUGAGAUGAGUGGUGAUGAUUCUUUCUCUGGAGUGUGAAUCCUGGUGGUACAUCGGGUACAUCCUGACAUAUGACUUGUACUGCUAGGAAAGGACACAGGAGAGAAGAGAGUCCUCUGCUUCAGCUGAAAUUAUUGCACGGGGCUGGAAAAAAGUAUUAUUUGUAGAAAGUAUGCAAGGAUCAGCAGUAAAUGAAUUUGAAGCAAAGGUGAAGCAAACUUUCAAGAAAUACCAUGAAACUGCAAACUGGUGAUUACACUACACAUGAAGGUCAGUUUGAGGUAACAUCAGGACUGUAGUCCAACGUUGGCAAAGAUUUUUUUGUUAAAGCUAUGUUUUCUAUGACUUUAGAUGAUUAUUCUAAAAUUACAAAACCAGAAUUUUAAGCUUCUGCAUAUACUGAUUUCUGGAAAGAAAAUCAAUUGCCAAUGCAGAUAAUAGGUAUAUGAAUAUUAUAUGAAUGUCUUGAAUUGCUG